rnacentral:rRNA from 2 species
ACACAUGCAAGUCGAACGGAAAGGCCCUUUCGGGGGUACUCGAGUGGCGAACGGGUGAGUAACACGUGGGUGAUCUGCCCUGCACUUUGGGAUAAGCCUGGGAAACUGGGUCUAAUACCGAAUAUACCCUGCUGGUCGCAUGGCCUGGUGGGGGAAAGCUUUUGCGGUGUGGGAUGGGCCCGCGGCCUAUCAGCUUGUUGGUGGGGUGAUGGCCUACCAAGGCGACGACGGGUAGCCGGCCUGAGAGGGUGACCGGCCACACUGGGACUGAGAUACGGCCCAGACUCCUACGGGAGGCAGCAGUGGGGAAUAUUGCACAAUGGGCGCAAGCCUGAUGCAGCGACGCCGCGUGAGGGAUGACGGCCUUCGGGUUGUAAACCUCUUUCAGCACAGACGAAGCGCAAGUGACGGUAUGUGCAGAAGAAGGACCGGCCAACUACGUGCCAGCAGCCGCGGUAAUACGUAGGGUCCGAGCGUUGUCCGGAAUUACUGGGCGUAAAGAGCUCGUAGGUGGUUUGUCGCGUUGUUCGUGAAAACUCACAGCUUAACUGUGGGCGUGCGGGCGAUACGGGCAGACUAGAGUACUGCAGGGGAGACUGGAAUUCCUGGUGUAGCGGUGGAAUGCGCAGAUAUCAGGAGGAACACCGGUGGCGAAGGCGGGUCUCUGGGCAGUAACUGACGCUGAGGAGCGAAAGCGUGGGGAGCGAACAGGAUUAGAUACCCUGGUAGUCCACGCCGUAAACGGUGGGUACUA